UACAGGAGGUGCUAGCGUUGUUCGGAAUCAUUGGGCGUAAAGGGCGUGUAGGCGGUUUGUUAAGUCAGUGUGUGAAAUCCCUCGGCUCAACCGGGGAACGACGCUAUGAAACUGGCAAGCUAGAGUACCAAAGAGGUGCGUGGAAUUCCCGGUGUAGCGGUGAAAUGCGUAGAUAGUCGGGAAGGAACACCUGUGGCGAAAGCGGCGCACGUGGACCACAACUGACGCUGAGGCGACGAAAGGCUAGGGGGAGCAAACAACGGG
rnacentral:rRNA from 1 species